AUUUAUGGUGUGGACAUUACAAUAAAAGUGACUUGAAGCGAUUCUAUGCUUCACGAAAAGAUUCAAUAUCCUUUCGAUAAAAGUUAGAAAUUUCAGCCCUUAACU
rfam:Ricinus communis cultivar Hale ctg_1100012355431, whole genome shotgun sequence.